rnacentral:misc_RNA from 1 species
CCGAGUGAGGGCCCUCUGGGUCCAACCUCCCACCCGUGUUUAUCAUACCCUGUUGCUUCGGCGGGCCCGCCUUCACCGGCCGCCGGGAUGGCCUCUGCGCCUCCGGGCCCGCGCCCGCCGAAGACACCUGUGAACGCUUCUAUUGAAGAUUGCAGUCUGAGUGAUUUUUUUCCAAAUCAAUCA